rnacentral:misc_RNA from 1 species
GAGCCUUGAAAAAAUUGUCAUCCAGAUCUUCUUCUCUUAGGGCAUUAAUCUCUUCUGGGGAUAGCUGAUAAUCACGAAGAAAGCAUGACACAAUUUCUUGCCUCUGUGUAGUAACUUCAAAUUCCUGCUUCAGCCGUUCUGUGGUACUGAUAAUAUCGCCUGUCGUGGCAUUGCAACUGCUCAAAGCCAUUGCGAUUUUGUCACAGCAUUCAACGAUCUCAUUGACUUCUUGUUCAACUCGAUCCAACGACUUUUGAGCAGCUGCGGAGGAAAGGAGAAACUCUUCAUUGAUAGAUAGAGAACGCUUUUCAAUAGUGGAUCGGAGGUUCCGGCGAGAAUGAGGUGUAUUUUCGGUGUAGAAUUCAGAGAGAGUAUUGAGCGACGCGAGUAGAUCCGCCGUGUCUGUUCGAGUUUCCAACACUUUCUUCAGCUUCCGAGAUAGCCCCGGUGCCAAUGCCAUCGCCGGCGACCGUCGAUUUCCUCUACCAGUUAU